GUCCUUCACCGAGGCUUCCGGUGUUGUCUCACAUGUCCAAAGAAAACAUUGUAGCUAUCCUUUUUAAAUUGGAAACAUAUGACUCCAUGUACUUUUGCAACUAACCAUCAUUCGAAGUGUGCUGCUGCAACAUGUUCAACUGAGGGCUGGCGUGUGACCUCUAUGACUGACUGCAGUCGGACUAAACCAGGCAUCACGUCUCAUUCCUGGAAAAAGGUUGGUGUGUUGCCAUGACGUUCAUCAAGCCUCCUUCAUUGGACCUCUGACUUUAUCAGACAGGAAUUCUCUUUUACCCUGAACAUUCCUCAAAUUAAAUGUCUUCAGGAAUGCUCUGAAGACCUGUACGAAAGCUCUGAAGACCUGUACGAAAGCUCUGAAGACCUGUACGAAAGCAAAUAGGGAAGCACCAAAAGGGAGAAACUUAAAAAUGCAGAGGCUUUCAUUUCACAUCAUCGCUGUCAUAAUAAGCUAUUUUCUCAAUGGCUGCAUAGUUGUUCACAGCCAGACAGUCUGCAACCGACCAGCCAAUCUGGAAUGGCACCUACAACCACAAACUGCUCAGGUGAAAUGGACACUCAUGGAAAACAUCUGUGAUAGUAUGGUCCAAUGUUGGGGUGAUCAAGAAAGGACAGAGACCCAAAAGUCAGAUGUUCCGCCAACUUGGAACUUACCUCAGAUUUGUCCUCUAGAGGUGCAGUUUGGCGUCAAGCUGUUUGUUUCUAUUGAUGCCACUCUGGAUUUAUACGGUAUCAGGAUCCUCAAUGUGUCAAAGGAGGACUUUGAAAGUUGUUCCACUGCACCACAGUCACAAGACCAGUUUCUCUGUUCCGAUGAUGUUAUGAACGCGUCUAGGCAGGUGCAACCUAAGUGGCUUCUCCCGGGCCUUCAUUAUUUCAUAGCUUCGCAUGAGGGGAAUUCACAGCUCUGCAAGCUGGGUCUUCGUCUCAACGUCUCUGUGAAGGAACAACAGUGUCGAAGCAGCCCACUAGUGCGACUCUGCUCCGGGAACGGUGUUUGUAGGACAAGCUUUUGGGAAGACGGAGCGUACCGCUGUCAGUGCCGCCA